rnacentral:misc_RNA from 1 species
AUUUUGAUGUGCAUUUCUUUCAACCCAAAGUGUCUAGAUACUGUAUUGCCCAUUUUCUGCCAUAAGUACCAUGUUGGCUUUAAUCUAGCCUUUAUGUACAUCAGAAAAAACAUAUAACGUACUUAUCCUACACGCCUUCAAGAGAAAGAAGGUAACAAGGAAAAAACCUUCAAGAGAUUGAAGGAAACAACAAUAAGGUUGCCGCCAAUCCUACACUAGACCUUCAGCAAUGAUCAUAUCUAGCAAACUGCUAAUUCAUCCUAUAUGAACCUCGGCCUUCAGCGGGAAGAGAAGAGCAACCAGUAAACAAUCAAAAAAUUAAGAGCCCUCUGCUAAUAACUGAAGUUCAAAACUCUAAAAACGAUAUCAUCAGAAGAUGAUUAAUCUCAAUGUGCACAAGCUAUCACCAGUAGAUGAUCAAUCUCACUGCACAGGUGCGUCGUCAAGGGCCCUGCUUUCUUAUUCCACAUAUUGUCCUCCUAUGUUUUGCAGUAAAAGACGUAACUAUCAUCAGAAGAUGAUUGGUUACCUCAUUGACAUAAGAGUACGAACCUUUUUGUCUCUCUCUGCCUUCUUAGCACUAGCAGACCUCUUCAGUUUCUGAAGUUCCUCAAUCACUUCUUUCUCGACUGUGUCAAUUGAGUUCAGGAGCUUCUUUUGAGGUGUAAGCAAAGAAUCUUCGGAGGAUUGAUUUGUAAUAUCAAGCAGAAUUCUUGGAAUUUUGCCCACCGUAGGAGGACAGGGCUUCAGUUCAAGACUUGGUAUUGGAGACAUGAUAGUGUUACUGCGUUCGAGAUGAGCAUCUGGCGAUUCUUCAGAAGAGUCAAGAACACCAUAAGAGCGGGGCACUGAGCUCUCAAUUUCUUGGGCCCUGCCUACUCCCAAACGUUCCCUUCUCCUUUCAAUUGCCCUGACAAUAGCAGUGAUAUCUCGAAGAGGGGUUCUCGGGUACCAAGAAGGUAAGACACUGUUCGAGGCACGACCUCUUCCACUUCCAUUUCCCCGCCUCACACUCCCAAUUGACGUAUUCUCUCUACCUAUAGCCUGCGUUCUGUAAAUAUUCCUGCCACGCCCAGUCUGGCCUCUUGGAGUGCCCGAACCGCCCCUUCCACGGCCAAUAGGACUCAUGCCUACGGCCCUUGUUCGGUUAGCUACCAUUGGUGGACCACUCGGAGAUCCAAAGAAGGCCCUUUCAAGGUCUUGCUGGUCUUCAUAAAACCCAACAAUCCCUGACCUUCUACGAGCGAAUAAGGCAGCUAUGUCAAUGGCCCUCGACAAUCUGUCUCUGGAUUCCCGCAUUUUGAAUCGUUUCAACUUAAAAAAACUGUCCUUGAUUGGCAGCAGAGGGAGAAAUGGAGUUUUUUC